rnacentral:miRNA from 2 species
UCCAUAAAGUAGAAAGCACUA